rnacentral:lncRNA from 1 species
GCCUCAUCUUGUCCAACCUCUUUGCAAUAUCCCAGGGGCCUUUAUUGAAAAACUAUCAGUGUCUUCAGAUAUGUCUCAAUGAAGUCCGUUCUAUCUUUAUACAGAGUUAUUCUACAGAAUGAAACUAGAGCUAAAAUCUGUCUCUAGAGUUUCCACCCACUUGUCCAACAUCAAGCCCUUCCUCCGUGGGUCCUCUUCUCCAUUCAGAGAGUAGAAGCAGUAAGGACACAUGCUCCUUUUCAGGAUGCAUACCCGGGGUCUGGCGGUGGCUUCCGUUCUCCUCAAUGAGCUUCCGUGGGUCUCCGACUUGCAGACUGCCAGACAGACUGGCACCGAGCCCUUGGAUGAUCGAGCAGCCCUCUCUGCAGUUAGGCUGAAGGAAGGGUGUGUGCUCUGGUCAAGCUCCAGCCUCUAUAGCCUCUGACUAUCAGACCUUCUGAGAAAGCCCCAUCCCAUCAGACAUCCUAAAGUCCUCCUCUCCAUCCUCAACAUCAGAGUCCCGGACCCUUGUGAGUCAGCACCCCUAGGAGCCUAAAUCUCUGUUAAGUGCUUAGCAAAGUGCCUGGGGAGGCGUGCCCACUGAGUAUAUGGUUCUAUUAUUACUAUUAUCAGUGUUGGUACCUGGCAACAGUAUCUCAGGGUAUUUAGCAGGAGCAGGAACUAAGGCUCACAAAACAUAAAUGGUGCUGAUAAAGGAAAUCUGGGUUCUCAUCACAGUUCCACCGUUCAAGAUGAGAAGGAAGAGGAGGAGGAGGAAGAGAAAGAUUUUUAUCCUAAGGGCCACAAGAGCAAGCACCAAUUCUUCCAUGCUUAGAACCACCAGACGCAUUGAAUUGAACACGUGCAACUACCCUGUGAGGAAUGGCCAUGAUGGCCUGAAUGCGGGCAGAGGAGAGAAAGCAGGCCGGAGGAGAAAGAGAAGGAUGAACCGAAAGCUCAUAGAGAGGCAGAGAGAGCAGCGCCUAUGCUGGCAAUCCUCCCCAUGAAAAAGAGAGAGAGCGAAAAAAAUCCCACCCUGGCUUCUGACUCCCUCGGGGGAUCCUGCUGAGUUCUGUGACACAGAUUUAAUCUUUCCACGCAAUCCUGUCCUUGCCUAGGCAGGCUUAAGUGGGCUUGGUCUCACGUAACCAAAUAGCACCGAAGACAGCUUGAGGCCAAACAGAGUAAGAGUGUCUACUCUGUGACCAGGUGUCUGUGACAUCCGGGGGAGUGCGGGUGACAUCUGAGAAAUUAUGUGUAACAUCUGCAUGGGUGUGUUUGUGUAACGGGCCAAGUGUGUGUAACAUCCAAGCGUUUGUGACAUGUUGAGAGAGUGUGUGUGUGAGAUCAAAGUAAGUGUAUGUAGCCCUGGAAUAAGUAUGCAUGGUUAGCUGGAGUCAAUAAAUGUUUAAAUCUGUGACCUGUCA